rnacentral:rRNA from 1 species
GGAUGCUUUACACAUGCAAGUCGAACGGCAGCGCGAGAGAGCUUGCUCUCUUGGCGGCGAGUGGCGGACGGGUGAGUAAUAUAUCGGAACGUGCCCAGUAGCGGGGGAUAACUACUCGAAAGAGUGGCUAAUACCGCAUACGCCCUACGGGGGAAAGGGGGGGAUCGCAAGACCUCUCACUAUUGGAGCGGCCGAUAUCGGAUUAGCUAGUUGGUGGGGUAAAGGCUCACCAAGGCAACGAUCCGUAGCUGGUUUGAGAGGACGACCAGCCACACUGGGACUGAGACACGGCCCAGACUCCUACGGGAGGCAGC